GAUCCGGUAAGGUUUUGUUUUGGAUUGCCCAUUAGAUCUGGUCCCGCUCCGAUCUUCUAGAGAUUGGAGGCGGUCUUCAUUCUCUCUGAACAGAAGAGUGCAGAAAAUAGGGCUCUUCUACUUCUGAGUCUUCUCUUUCGCGGCGAUUUAGAGGUUGCGUCGCGGAGAGGCAGCUCAGCUCCUCUAUAAAAGCGCUGAGACUCUCUUUCCUCCUUCCGCCUCUUCUGUCUCCUGAUCCGGUAAGGUUUUCUUUCGAUUGCCCAUUAGAUCUGGUCCCGCUCCGAUCUUCUAGAGAUUGGAGGCGGUCUUCGUUCUCUCUGAAGGGAAGAGUGCAGAAAAUGGGGCUCUUCUACUUCCGAGUCCUCUCUCUUGCGGCGAUUUAGAGGUUGCGUCACGGAGACGCAGCUCAGCUCCUCUAUAAAAGCGCUGAGACUCUCUUUCCUCCUUCCGCCUCUGCCGUAUCCUGAUCCGGUAAGGUUUUCUUUUUGAUUGCCCAUCGGAUCUGGUCCCGCUCCGAUCUUCUAGAGAUUGAGGCGGUCUUCAUUCUCUCUGAACGGAAGAGUGCAGAAAAAGGGGCUCUUCUACUUCUGAGUCUUCUCUCUUGUGGCGAUUUAAAGGUUGCGUCACGGAGACGCACCUCAGCUCCUCUAUAAAAGCGCUGAGACUCUCUUUCCUCCUUCCGCCUCUGCCGUCUCCUGAUCCGGCCGAAAAUGCUAAAUUACCCUCAUCCUGCUGUAUAAUUGUCUCAGGAUUGCUCUGUUGGGCUCUUAUA
rnacentral:lncRNA from 1 species